rnacentral:rRNA from 1 species
UCCAUGAAGUCGGAAUCGCUAGUAAUCGCGAAUCAGAAUGUCGCGGUGAAUACGUUCCCGGGCCUUGUACACACCGCCCGUCACACCAUGGGAGUGGGUUGUACCAGAAGUAGAUAGCUUAACCUUUUGGAGGGCGUUUACCACGGUAUGAUUCAUGACUGGGGUGAAGUCGUAACAAGGUAACCGUAGGGGAACCUGCGGUUGGAUCACCUCCUUAC